rnacentral:rRNA from 1 species
UAUUGGACAAUGGGGGCAACCCUGAUCCAGCCAUGCCGCGUGAGUGAUGAAGGCCUUCGGGUUGUAAAGCUCUUUUGGCGGGGACGAUGAUGACGGUACCCGCAGAAUAAGCCCCGGCUAACUUCGUGCCAGCAGCCGCGGUAAGACGAAGGGGGCUAGCGUUGUUCGGAAUUACUGGGCGUAAAGCGAGUGUAGGUGGUUUUCCAAGUUGGAUGUGAAAGCCUUGGGCUUAACCCAAGAAAUGCAUUCAGGACUGGAAGACUAGAGGACCGGAGAGGAUAGUGGAAUUCCCAGUGUAGUGGUGAAAUACGUAGAGAUUGGGAAGAACACCAGUGGCGAAGGCGGCUAUCUGGACGGUUCUGACGCUAAGACUCGAAA